UAACGCGUGGGUAACCUGCCUUGUACAGGGGGAUAACAGUUGGAAACGGCUGCUAAUACCGCAUAAGCGCACGGCAUCGCAUGAUGCAGUGUGAAAAACUCCGGUGGUAUAUGAUGGACCCGCGUUGGAUUAGCUAGUUGGUGAGGUAACGGCCCACCAAGGCGACGAUCCAUAGCCGACCUGAGAGGGUGACCGGCCACAUUGGGACUGAGACACGGCCCAAACUCCUACGGGAGGCAGCAGUGGGGAAUAUUGCACAAUGGGCGAAAGCCUGAUGCAGCGACGCCGCGUGAGCGAAGAAGUAUUUCGGUAUGUAAAGCUCUAUCAGCAGGGAAGAUAAUGACGGUACCUGACUAAGAAGCACCGGCUAAAUACGUGCCAGCAGCCGCGGUAAUACGUAUGGUGCAAGCGUUAUCCGGAUUUACUGGGUGUAAAGGGAGCGCAGGCGGUGCGGCAAGUCUGAUGUGAAAGCCCGGGGCUCAACCCCGGUACUGCAUUGGAAACUGUCGUACUAGAGUGUCGGAGGGGUAAGCGGAAUUCCUAGUGUAGCGGUGAAAUGCGUAGAUAUUAGGAGGAACACCAGUGGCGAAGGCGGCUUACUGGACGAUAACUGACGCUGAGGCUCGAAAGCGUGGGGAGCAAACAGGAUUAGAUACCCUGGNAGUCCACGCCGNAAACGAUGAAUACUAGGUGU
rnacentral:rRNA from 1 species